rnacentral:rRNA from 1 species
UACCAGACUCCUACGGGAGGCAGCAGUGGGGAAUAUUGCACAAUGGGGGAAACCCUGAUGCAGCGACGCCGCGUGAAGGAAGAAGUAUUUCGGUAUGUAAACUUCUCUCAGCAGGGAAGAAAAUGACGGUACCUGAGUAAGAAGCCCCGGCUAACUACGUGCCAGCAGCCGCGGUAAUACGUAGGUGGCGAGCGUUAUCCGGAUUUACUGGGUGUAAAGGGCGUGUAGGCGGGAGAGCAAGUCAGAUGUGAAAACUACAGGCUUAACCUGUAGCCUGCAUUUGAAACUGUUCUUCUUGAGUGAUGGAGAGGCAGGCGGAAUUCCUAGUGUAGCGGUGAAAUGCGUAGAUAUUAGGAGGAACACCAGUGGCGAAGGCGGCCUGCUGGACAUUAACUGACGCUGAGGCGCGAAAGCGUGGGGAGCAAACAGGAUUAGAUACCCCAUUA